rnacentral:rRNA from 1 species
UACGGGGGGAGCAAGCGUUGUUCGGAUUUACUGGGCGUAAAGGGCGCGUAGGCGGCCACGACAAGUCACUUGUGAAAUCUCCGGGCUUAACUCGGAACGGUCAAGUGAUACUGUCGGGCUAGAGUGCAGAAGGGGCAACUGGAAUUCUCGGUGUAGCGGUGAAAUGCGUAGAUAUCAAGUGGAACACCAGUGGCGAAGGCGAGUCCCUGGACAAUACCUGACACUGAGGCACGAAAGCUAGGGGAGCAAACGGG